UACAGAGGGUGCGAGCGUUAAUCGGAAUUACUGGGCGUAAAGCGCACGUAGGUGGCGACGUAAGUCGGGUGUGAAAGCCCCGGGCUCAACCUGGGAAUUGCAUUUGAGACUGCAUUGCUGGAGUACGGAAGAGGAGGGCGGAAUUCCCGGUGUAGCGGUGAAAUGCGUAGAUAUCGGGAGGAACAUCAGUGGCGAAGGCGGCCCUCUGGUCCAGUACUGACACUCAAGUGCGAAAGCGUGGGGAGCAAACAGG
rnacentral:rRNA from 1 species